ACCCGAUGAAUUUACAUUGACGGUAAAGAUGCCGUCUACCCGCAACAAGACGGAAAGACCCUAUGAAGCUUUACUAUAGCGUGUCAUUGAUGCACGAAUUUUUUUGUUUAGCAUAGGUGGGAGCCUUUGAAUCGCAGGCGCAAGCAUGCGUGGAGGCGACAAGUGAAAUACCACCCUAAAAGACUUUUGUUUCUAACCCGGAUUUAACCAGUCCAGGGACAGUGGCUCGUGGGUAGUUUAACUGGGGCGGUUGCCU
rnacentral:rRNA from 1 species